rnacentral:rRNA from 1 species
UACGUAGGGUGCAAGCGUUGUCCGGAAUUAUUGGGCGUAAAGGGCGUGUAGGCGGCCAACUAAGUCCGACGUGAAAUCCCCAGGCUUAACCUGGGAACUGCGUCGGAUACUGGAUGGCUUGAAUCCGGGAGAGGGAUGCAGAAUUCCAGGUGUAGCGGUGAAAUGCGUAGAUAUCUGGAGGAAUACCGGUGGCGAAGGCGGCAUCCUGGACCGGCAUUGACGCUGAAGCGCGAAAGCUAGGGGAGCAAACGGG